UCCCUGGUGGUCCAGUGGUUAGGACUCCGCACUUCUACCGCCAGGGGGCCCAGGUUCAAUCCCUGGUCAGGGAA